rnacentral:tRNA from 1 species
AUAUGUAUAAUUAGGAUUUUGAAAAUCCCACCUGGCAUAUUUUGCCUACAUAUU